rnacentral:misc_RNA from 1 species
GAUGAAGAACGUAGCAAAAUGCGAUAAGUAGUGUGAAUUGCAGAAUUCAGUGAAUCAUCGAAUCUUUGAACGCACAUUGCGCCCGUCAGUAUUCUGACGGGCAUGCCUGUCCGAGCGUCAUUUCAACCCUCAAGCACUGCUUGGCGUUGGCGGAUUGCGUGCCCUCGCGGCGCUGCAACCGCCCAAAUACAGUGGCGGUCCCGCUGCGGCUCCCUUUGCGUAGUAACUCACCUCGCACUGGACCGGGCGGCGGCCUGCCGUAAAACCCCAACUCACGAAAUGUUGACCUCGGAUCAGGUAGGAAUACCCGCUGAACUUAAGCAUAUCAAUAAGCGGAGGA